AUUGUACGCUGGCGGCAGGCCUAACACAUGCAAGUCGAGCGGAUGACGGGAGCUUGCUCCUUGAUUCAGCGGCGGACGGGGGAGUAAUGCCUAGGAAUCUGCCUGGUAGUGGGGGACAACGUUUCGAAAGGAACGCUAAUACCGCAUACGUCCUACGGGCGAAAGCAGGGGACCUUCGGGCCUUGCGCUAUCAGAUGAGCCUAGGUCGGAUUAGCUAGUAGGUGAGGUAAUGGCUCACCUAGGCGACGAUCCGUAACUGGUCAGAGAGGAUGAUCAGUCACACUGGAACUGAGACACGGUCCAGACUCCUACGGGAGGCAGCAGUGGGGAAUAUUGGACAAUGGGCGAAAGCCUGAUCCAGCCAUGCCGCGUGUGUGAAGAAGGUCUUCGGAUUGUAAAGCACUUUAAGUUGGGAGGAAGGGCAGUAAGCUAAUACCUUGCUGUUUUGACGUUACCGACAGAAUAAGCACCGGCUAACUCUGUGCCAGCAGCCGCGGUAACAC
rnacentral:rRNA from 1 species